GACGAGCCUCACAAACGUUAUUCGGAAUUACUGGGCUUAAAGGGUGCGUAGGCGGCGCGGAAAGUUGGGUGUGAAAUCCCUCGGCUCAACCGAGGAACUGCGCCCAAAACUACCGUGCUCGAGGAAGAUAGAGGUGAGCGGAACUCACGGUGGAGCGGUGAAAUGCGUUGAUAUCGUGAGGAACACCCGUGGCGAAGGCGGUUCUCUGGGCCGAUACUGACGCUGAGGAGCGAAAGCGUGGGGAGCGAACAGG
rnacentral:rRNA from 1 species